AUCGAUUCGUGAGAUCUGCCGCUCAGGUUUCUCCCUAGGCCAUCGAUGCCUUGUCGUACGUCGUCGACUAGGUUUGCCCCUUUUCCUUGCCCUUCUUCCGCAUUCUGAUGUCCUCCCCGCCACCCUGCACCACCUCCCUCAGUCGCCUUCCCCAUUCGCACCUUGUCAGGGAUCAGGUUGUCCACUUCCCAGCCUCCCUCCCCAGUCUACAUCUUCCCCUGCACACCCAUUACAAACGAGGGAGACAAGUACCAUGGCUUUUUCUCUCAGGGAUCGAUUACUGGAAACGAUGAUCCCACUGAUUCUGUCAACGACAGACUACCCAUCUUUCGAUCGUCCUUUGCUCGCACAUGAUCGGCAACGGGAAACCUUGACCUCGAUUUUCAGCAAUCAGCAUGCUACCUUCCCCUACCUUGGCUUGUACUCCGGAUUACUUCAACCCGAAGCAGACAUAGCUGACCAGGGACUUCCCCUAUGGCCCUAACAAGUAGAUCUCGACAUGGCUCCUUCAUUCCUCCUAGACUGAACGUUGGCGGAAGCCGGUCUACGCAUGGUCUUGCACGCCCAUCUAGUAGACAUGCUACUACAACAAAUUUCAGAGCUAGGUCUAGUAGGCACUGCUCCAAGGAAUGGAGGUGCCCGUCCAUUUCAAGGUUCUCAUGUGCAUUCUCCUCUUCCUCAGAUGCGUGUUGGAGGGCGUGGCAGAGCCAGGCAACCCAACUCUACGGGAAAUGGAUUUUUUGUGGAAGGUGCGGAUGAGGAUGACGAUGAGAACCCCUCACAUAUGAGGAAACCAGAGUACAGGAAGUUCUGGUAAUGUGUACCAUAUUACCUGGAAUAUCUACAAGAAAUGUUCCAUGGUUAUGUUGUUGACGGACGUUCCACAUGCAAUACUGGAGGGAGUAAUGUACCAGUACAAGUAGAUGAUGAAAAUGAAGAACACGAUGAUGAUGCUACCCUCAACAGCCCAAUGAGUAUCGGUUAUCAUAAAAGUCCUAGUAGCACAUCUAACGUUGUAUCAAGUCCACUUAAUAAAAACAUAAAAGUUCCAUGUUCAACAUGAUGCAAGGGAUGUUGGACAACCUGAACCAAAAUGGUACUGCUCAAUGGGAAACAUUAGUUGAAAUAUCUAAAGAAAGGGCAGAUCAAAGGAGGAGGGAAAUUGUAGUUGAUAUGCAAAACAAAAUUGAAGACAUAGGAAGGUGUUUGAAACUAGAUGUGGACUAUGGCAUAUCAGAAGUUUCAGAUGAGUAUUGGGUGGCAACAUAGUUGUUUGACAAAAAAGUACAACCGAUCAGUUUUCUCAAGCUUUAGAACAUAUGAGGGAAGGAUAGGUUGGUUGCAGAGGUGGUGCAGACAGUUCAGUGGUUGAAGGUGUUUGUGUUAUGAAAGUUAAAUUUGUGUAAUAAGUCUUUAUCUGUGUGUGUGAACAAAUUUGAAGUAUGUUGAUUUUCUAGACUUUUUAUGGAAUAAAUAAACUUGGGUGUUUAUUGUUUC